AUUGAACGCUGGCGGCAAGCCUAACACAUGCAAGUCGAACGAGUGGCGGACGGGUGAGUAAUGUCUGGGAAACUGCCUGAUGGAGGGGGAUAACUACUGGAAACGGUAGCUAAUACCGCAUACCAUCGGAUGUGCCCAGAUGGGAUUAGCGAGUCGGUGGGGUAAAUGCUCACCUAGGCGACGAUCCCUAGCUGGUCUGAGAGGAUGACCAGCCAAACUGGAACGGAGACACGGUCCAGACUCCUAAGUGAGGCAGCAGGGGGGAAUAUUGCACAAUGGGCGCAAGCCUGAUGCAGCGAUGCCGCGUGUAUGAAGAAGGCCUUCGGGUUGUAAAGUACUUUCAGCGGGGAGGCGUUACCCGCAGAAGAAGCACCGGCUAACUCCGUGCCAGCAGACGCGGUAAUAC
rnacentral:rRNA from 1 species